UACGGAGGGUGCAAGCGUUAAUCGGAAUUACUGGGCGUAAAGCGCACGCAGGUGGCUGAGUCAGUCGAUUGUGAAAGCCCUGGGCUUAACCUAGGAAUUGCAGUCGAUACUACUCGGCUAGAGUAUGGGAGAGGGUAGUGGAAUUCCCGGUGUAGCGGUGAAAUGCGUAGAUAUCGGGAGGAACAUCAGUGGCGAAGGCGGCUACCUGGCCCAAUACUGACACUCAGGUGCGACAGCGUGGGGAGCAAACAGG
rnacentral:rRNA from 1 species